rnacentral:rRNA from 1 species
UGAAUACGAGAUGCUACGGCGUCGAAGCAGUCUAUGUCAUACUUCCAAGAAAAGCUUGCACUGUCAUAAACAAAUAAUGCCUGUACCAUAACCGACACAGGUGGGUAGGUAGAGUAUACUAAGGGGCGCGAGAUAACUCUCUCUAAGGAACUCGGCAAAAUGACUCCGUAACUUCGGGAGAAGGAGUGCCUUAUUUAUAAGGUUGCAAUAACAAGAUCCAAGCAACUGUUUACCAAAAACACAGGUCUCCGCUAAGUCGUAAGACGAUGUAUGGGGGCUGACGCCUGCCCAGUGCCAGAAGGUUAAAGAAGUUGGUUAGCAUCCGCGAAGCUGAUAACUGAAGCCCUGGUGAACGGCGGCCGUAACGAUAACGGUCCUAAGGUAGCGAAAUUCCUUGUCGGGUAAGUUCCGACCCGCACGAAAGGCGUAAUGAUUUGGAUACUGUCUCGGAGAGGGGCUCGGUGAAAUAGACUUGUCUGUGAAGUUGCGGACUACCUGCACCAGGACAGAAAGACCCUAUGAAGCUUUACUGUAACCUGAAAUUGAAAUUGGACUUUACUUGCGCAGUAUAGGUGGGAGGCGUUGAGAAUAUUCUUGCGGGAUUAUUGGAGCCAUCAGUGAGAUACCACUCUUGUAAUGUUAGAUUUCUAACUUUGUAUCAUUAUCUGGUCAAAGAACAGUUUCAGGCGGGCAGUUUGACUGGGGCGGUCGCCUCCUAAACGGUAACGGAGGCGCACAAAGGUUUCCUCUGAACGGGUAGAAAUCGUAUCUAGAGUGUAAAGGCAUAAGGAAGCUUGACUGUGAGACCUACAAGUCGAGCAGGGACGAAAGUCGGUCUUAGUGAUCUGACGGUGCUGAGUGGAAAGGCCGUCACUCAACGGAUAAAAGUUACUCUAGGAUAACAGGCUGAUCUCCCCCAAGAGUUCACAUCGACGGGGAGGUUUGGCACCUCGAUGUCGGCUCAUCGCAUCCUGGGGCGGUAGUACGUCCCAAGGGUUGGGCUGUUCGCCCAUGAAAGCGGUACGCGAGCUGGGUUCAGAACGUCGUGAGACAGUUCGGUCCAUAUCCGGUGUAGGCGUUAGAAUAUUGAGAGGAGCCUUCUUUAGUACGAGAGGACCGAGAAGGACAUACCUCUGGUGUACCAGUUAUCGUGCCAACGGUAAACGCUGGGUAGCUAUGUGUGGAGUGGAUAACCGCUGAAAGCAUCUAAGUGGGAAGCCCACCUCAAGAUAAG